rnacentral:rRNA from 1 species
UACGUAGGGUGCAAGCGUUGUCCGGAAUUAUUGGGCGUAAAGAGCUCGUAGGCGGUUUGUCGCGUCUGCUGUGAAAACCCGAGGCUCAACCUCGGGCCUGCAGUGGGUACGGGCAGACUAGAGUGCGGUAGGGGAGACUGGAAUUCCUGGUGUAGCGGUGAAAUGCGCAGAUAUCAGGAGGAACACCGGUGGCGAAGGCGGCGACCUGGGACAAUACUGACGCUGAGGAGCGAAAGCGUGGGGAGCGAACAGG